CCCUUUCUUGUUCAUUCCGCCUAUAUACCACCGUCGUCAGCUUACCCUCCUGAGGGAUCUAUAGUAAGCACAAUUGGCAUAGCCCAAAACGUCAGGUCGAGGUGUAGCGUAUGAGAGGGGAAGAAAUGGGCUACAUUCACCCUUGACGGUGUACAACGAAAGAUGCAAUUGAAACAUUCAUCAGAAGGAGGAUUUAGCAGUAAGUAGGAAGUAGAGCGUUCUACUGAAACCGGCCCUGAAGCGCGCACACACCGCCCGUCACUCUCCCCGAGCUUCCAGAUUUGCCCUAAGUAAAACACUACCCAUCGCUAAGGGGAGGCAAGUCGUAACAUGGUAAGUGUACCGGAAGGUGCACUUGGGAAAAC
rnacentral:rRNA from 1 species